rnacentral:rRNA from 1 species
AAUAGAUACCCUGGUAGUCCACGCCGUAAACGAUGAGUGCUAAGUGUUAGAGGGUUUCCACCCUUUAAUGCUGCAGCAAACGCAUUAAGCACUCCGCCUGGGGAGUACGGCCGCAAGGCUGAGACUCAAAGGAAUUGACGGGGACCCGCACAAGCGGUGGAGCAUGUGGUUUAAUUCGAAGCAACGCGAAGAACCUUACCAGGUCUUGACAUCCUCUGCCAACCCUAGAGAUAGGGCGUUCCCCUUCGGGGGACAGAGUGACAGGUGGUGCAUGGUUGUCGUCAGCUCGUGUCGUGAGAUGUUGGGUUAAGUCCCGCAACGAGCGCAACCCUUGAUCUUAGUUGCCAGCAUUCAGUUGGGCACUCGUAAGGUGACUGCCGGUGACAAACCGGAGGAAGUGGGGAUGACGUCAAAUCAUCAUGCCCCUUAUGACCUGGGCUACACACGUGCUACAAUGGAUGGUACAAAGAGCAGCGAACCCGCGAGGGUAAGCCAAUCUCAUAAAGCCAUUCUCAGUUCGGAUUGGUA